GAUUAAACGUAGCAUUAUCAUAUUUAUUUUGGCUUGCCUCCUUGCCAGUCCCCUGCUGUAAAUUAAAUGAUUGCCGAGCUAGAUUAGCAGAAAGCAUAUGUGGAAAUUACCUUUUAAUUUCUUAAUUACAUUGCACUCACCUGCAGCUCAACCUGCCAGUGUAAGGAGAGUGUGAAGUUAAUUUCCAUUGAUAUAUUAUCUGCUUUCUUAUAAAUUAGGAUCCUAUUAGAGAGGAAGCACACCAAGAACACGCUGUUCCCAGUCAGGCUGUGGAUGGGAUCUGCUCUUAGGGCUGGCUUACAGGAGCUGGGCUGCCUGCAGCUUGUGUCAGAGGAAGGGGAGAUGGCAGAUUGAUUUCCUAUCAUAAACCCCUUCCUGCUGUGAAGAGGAGAGGAAUGCCGUUUGUACGCCGCUUGCAGACGGACCGAUGCUGAAACUACUUUGGGUUGACUUUGUGCCCCAACCUAAGCCAAGGCAGGGUGGCAGUGACAAGGUAACCUCCAGACGGAGCAAUGCCGAUCCAGCCCCUCUCUGGGUCUCCACCUAAGAAAGGAGAAGGAUUUGUGCGAUGUAACCGUGCCUCCUGCACCUCGCCAGCCCUGCCCUGCGGCACGGAGCUGUGCUUGGGAUGCUCCUGGGCUGGGAGAAGAGCUGGGGGCAGCGGAGGGCCGGGGCAGCAGCUCUGGGGCCGGAAAAUGGGAGAGCACAGAGGAUUUGGGAGGACAUCUCACUGUCAUUUUCCUGUGUUGCUGGGAUCUAAGACCAGACUCAUCAGCAAGCAAAAGACUGAUUCUGAGACCUCUGCUUCAGUUGCUUGGAUCCAUGGCCACAAUUAGAGAACUAGCCAUCGGCUGGAUUUUUCAGAGGUUUAAAAUAAUAAAGCACUUCUCAAUUUUCA
rnacentral:lncRNA from 1 species